rnacentral:tRNA from 1 species
GGAGGUGUCCGGUUCCCUGGUGGGGCCCCCGGUCUUCAACACCGGCGAGGGCGGGCUCGGUCCGCCCUGGCGGGUUCGAUUCCCGUCCACCUCCG